rnacentral:rRNA from 1 species
AGCGGCGGACGGGUGAGUAACACGUGGGUAACCUGCCCAAGAGACUGGGAUAACACCUGGAAACAGAUGCUAAUACCGGAUAACAACACUAGACGCAUGUCUAGAGUUUGAAAGAUGGUUCUGCUAUCACUCUUGGAUGGACCUGCGGUGCAUUAGCUAGUUGGUAAGGUAACGGCUUACCAAGGCAAUGAUGCAUAGCCGAGUUGAGAGACUGAUCGGCCACAUUGGGACUGAGACACGGCCCAAACUCCUACGGGAGGCAGCAGUAGGGAAUCUUCCACAAUGGACGAAAGUCUGAUGGAGCAACGCCGCGUGAGUGAAGAAGGGUUUCGGCUCGUAAAGCUCUGUUGGUAGUGAAGAAAGAUAGAGGUAGUAACUGGCCUUUAUUUGACGGUAAUUACUUAGAAAGUCACGGCUAACUACGUGCCAGCAGCCGCGGUAAUACGUAGGUGGCAAGCGUUGUCCGGAUUUAUUGGGCGUAAAGCGAGUGCAGGCGAUUCAAUAAGUCUGAUGUGAAAGCCUUCGGCUCAACCGGGAGAAUUGCAUCAGAAACUGUUGAACUUGAGUGCAGAAGAGGAGAGUGGAACUCCAUGUGUAGCGGUGGAAUGCGUAGAUAUAUGGGAAGAACACCAGUGGCGAACGCGGCUCUCUGGUCUGCAACUGACGCUGAGGCUCGAAGCAUGGGUAGCGAACAGGAUUAGAAUACCCUGGU